rnacentral:rRNA from 1 species
UACGGAGGGGGCUAGCGUUGUUCGGAAUCAUUGGGCGUAAAGGGCGCGUAGGCGGCGUGACAAGUCACUUGUGAAAAUCUCCGGGCUUAACUCGGAGCGGCCAAGUGAUACUGUCGUGCUAGAGUGCGGAAGGGGCUACUGGAAUUCUCGGUGUAGCGGUGAAAUGCGUAGAUAUCGAGAGGAACACCUGCGGCGGAAGGCGGGUAGCUGGGCCGACACUGACGCUGGAGGCGCGAAAGCUAGGGGAGCGAACGGG